rnacentral:snRNA from 1 species
GCACUUACUUCGGCAGCACAUAUACUAAAACUAGAACGAUACAGAGAAGAUUAGCAUGGCAUCUGUGCAAGGAUGAUACGCAAAUUCAUGAAGCGUUCCAGAUACAU